rnacentral:lncRNA from 1 species
CUGCAAGGUACCGUACCACAAUAGGUAGUAAGUAUUUGGAAAAAGCAUAUGGGAUGGAAGGUCUGUUUUCUUGACAAAACAUAGCAAUAUGAGGCACCUGCUCCAUCAGUUCUGCCCGCACUGUAGGCUCUGAAUCAUCAGCUAAUCUGCUGAUUCUCUCCAACACAGCAAUACAAUCUCUCUCAUCAUCACUGACUUCCUUCAAAGUGUCCAGUAAACUUCGCGCCACCAUUUGCCUGUUAAAUAUGUUCUCACUUGCAGCGUACUUGUCCAGUCUUCCCAAAGGCGUCAACAUUUCAUCUUGUGAGACAAAGUCCAGGGCUGAAGGUAUAAUAAUCACAUCAGACUCUGAGCUGUAGUCAUCCACACCAAGUGCUCCCGGCUCGGCUCCGGCGCCCUCCUCCC